UGAUUGGUUUUUACUUCCUCAGCAGCCUUCCAUUGGUAGAUAGGUGGACGUCACUUUUACAGCGCGCUAAAAUUGUGGAAAUAACUGCUCGGUACAAUAGUUAGCUAUGUCAUUUUCCUGGUGUGAUUUAUUAUUGCCCGCAGUCAGAGCUCCACAAAGAAUAUCGAACGCUCAAGCAAGCAAAUAAAUGGGCACACAGACCCAACACCUACCUCACAGACUCAAUCAGGUUUUGUCUGUAGAUAGCGGCAGCCGUCCCUGUUGCCAGAGAGAAAAGGACUCAGGUUGCUGGGGCACUCAGCUGAACUGUAAGAGCAUGCCGGUGGCUGCCCCCAAACUGACUCUGACAGCCAAGGAAAGGGAGUCCCUCCAAGCCUCGGCCCAGUACUUUGACAUGAAGCUCAAGUCAAACCUGGACCUGGGAGCUCUAACAAAGGAGAGACCGGUUUCUCUGAAGAAGUCGUUCACUCCUCGUGGAACACCUCUGAAGUCAUGGAAAGAUGUCCAGAGCCCAUACCCUGCAGCUGGAGCUGCAGACAGACAUACCCUGCAUCUGGAGCUGCAGACAGACAUACCCUGCAGCUGGAGCUGCAGACAGACAUACCCUGCAGCUGGAGCUGCAGACAGCCAUACCCUACAGCUGGAGCUGCGGGCAGACAGCCAUACCCUACAGCUGGAGCUGCAGGCAGACAGCCAUACCCUGCAGCUGGAGCUGCGGGCAGACAGCCAUACCCUACAGCUAAGCUGCGGGCAGACAGCCAUACCCUACAGCUGGAGCUGCGGACAGACAGACAUACCCUACAGCUGGAGCUGCGGGCAGACAGACAUACCCUACAGCUGGAACUGCGGGCAGACAGACAUAUCCUGCAGCUGGAGCUGCAGGCAGACAGACAUACCCUGUUAUCCCCUCUGCCAAAGCCAGCCAACACACGUCAAGACCUGGCCUCUCCAAUGCAGACAGGGACAGAACACCCAGAGCAGCUGCCGGAGGAGCCCUUUGAGCCCCUAA
rnacentral:lncRNA from 13 species